rnacentral:rRNA from 1 species
UACAGGGGGGGCAAGCGUUGUUCGGAAUUACUGGGCGUAAAGGGCCAGUAGGCGGCCAACUAAGUCGGAUGUGAAAUCCCCAGGCUUAACCUGGGAACUGCAUCCGAUACUGGAUGGCUUGAAUUCGGGAGAGGGAUGCAGAAUUCCAGGUGUAGCGGUGAAAUGCGUAGAUAUCUGGAGGAAUACCGGUGGCGAAGGCGGCAUCCUGGACCGACAUUGACGCUGAACGGCGAAAGCUAGGGGAGCAAACGGG